rnacentral:rRNA from 1 species
AAUCCGGAAAAUCAAGGCUGAGGCGUGAUGACGAGGCACUACGGUGCUGAAGCAACAAAUGCCCUGCUUCCAGGAAAAGCCUCUAAGCAUCAGGUAACAUCAAAUCGUACCCCAAACCGACACAGGUGGUCAGGUAGAGAAUACCAAGGCGCUUGAGAGAACUCGGGUGAAGGAACUAGGCAAAAUGGUGCCGUAACUUCGGGAGAAGGCACGCUGAUAUGUAGGUGAAGCGACUUGCUCGUGGAGCUGAAAUCAGUCGAAGAUACCAGCUGGCUGCAACUGUUUAUUAAAAACACAGCACUGUGCAAACACGAAAGUGGACGUAUACGGUGUGACGCCUGCCCGGUGCCGGAAGGUUAAUUGAUGGGGUCAGCGCAAGCGAAGCUCUUGAUCGAAGCCCCGGUAAACGGCGGCCGUAACUAUAACGGUCCUAAGGUAGCGAAAUUCCUUGUCGGGUAAGUUCCGACCUGCACGAAUGGCGUAAUGAUGGCCAGGCUGUCUCCACCCGAGACUCAGUGAAAUUGAACUCGCUGUGAAGAUGCAGUGUACCCGCGGCAAGACGGAAAGACCCCGUGAACCUUUACUAUAGCUUGACACUGAACAUUGAGCCUUGAUGUGUAGGAUAGGUGGGAGGCUUUGAAGUGUGGACGCCAGUCUGCAUGGAGCCGACCUUGAAAUACCACCCUUUAAUGUUUGAUGUUCUAACGUUGACCCGUGAUCCGGGUUGCGGACAGUGUCUGGUGGGUAGUUUGACUGGGGCGGUCUCCUCCUAAAGAGUAACGGAGGAGCACGAAGGUUGGCUAAUCCUGGUCGGACAUCAGGAGGUUAGUGCAAUGGCAUAAGCCAGCUUGACUGCGAGCGUGACGGCGCGAGCAGGUGCGAAAGCAGGUCAUAGUGAUCCGGUGGUUCUGAAUGGAAGGGCCAUCGCUCAACGGAUAAAAGGUACUCCGGGGAUAACAGGCUGAUACCGCCCAAGAGUUCAUAUCGACGGCGGUGUUUGGCACCUCGAUGUCGGCUCAUCACAUCCUGGGGCUGAAGUAGGUCCCAAGGGUAUGGCUGUUCGCCAUUUAAAGUGGUACGCGAGCUGGGUUUAGAACGUCGUGAGACAGUUCGGUCCCUAUCUGCCGUGGGCGCUGGAGAACUGAGGGGGGCUGCUCCUAGUACGAGAGGACCGGAGUGGACGCAUCACUGGUGUUCGGGUUGUCAUGCCAAUGGCACUGCCCGGUAGCUAAAUGCGGAAGAGAUAAGUGCUGAAAGCAUCUAAGCACGAAACUUGCCCCGAGAUGAGUUCUCCCUGACUCCUUGAGAGUCCUGAAGGAACGUUGAAGACGACGACGUUGAUAGGCCGGGUGUGUAAGCGCAGCGAUGCGUUGAGCUAACCGGUACUAAUGAACCGUGAGG